rnacentral:rRNA from 1 species
UACGUAGGGGGCAAGCGUUGUCCGGAAUCAUUGGGCGUAACGAGCGUGUAGGCGGCUCGGUAAGUCCGCUGUGAAAGUCCAGGGCUCAACCCUGGAAUGCCGGUGGAAACUGUCGAGCUUGAGUCCGGAAGAGGCGAGUGGAAUUCCUGGUGUAGCGGUGAAAUGCGCAGAUAUCAGGAGGAACACCAAUGGCGAAGGCAGCUCGCUGGGACGGUACUGACGCUGAGACGCGAAAGCGUGGGGAGCAAACAGG